AGAAAUGGAAGAUUUCUACAUUCUACCCAGAAGGGAGACAACAACAGGCAGAUAUCUGACUUUUUUUCUAAAGCUAAUACAAUCUGGGUCCUCAGCAAAAAGUGCAUACAUCCUUAUCUUUAGGAGCCCAGUCUUAGUGCUGACCUGCAAUACUGUAGACAUGAAGGUGGUAUUUCCAACUCGUCAUCUGCAGAUGAUGUUCUCAUGAUGCUGAUGGCUGUCAUCCAUUCCCUUGAAAUGAACAUUUGCAUUUGGAAGACUGCUGGCUAGAAUGAGGGGACAGGGUGCACCAAUGGAAAAGACCCUUCGCUGUGUGCAAAAGGAUGUUUUCUCCAGCGGUGGAUGAAAUCAGUGUUUAAUGCUACACAGGCCCAGCUGUGUCCAUAUAAGGAAAGCCCAGGCUCACGUCUCUCCAUGAAAAAGGACCUGUCCUCCCCUCCCUGUGUUCUGCUUCCACCCACUGCGUGUGGAGGUGGAGAGUGGGAGCCGGGGAAUGUGAACUUGAUCCAGCACUGAUCAGCCAAGCAGCAAACUCUCAUUGUUCUUUAGAUACCAAACAUAACUUCUUUCUACUAGGGAUAAACCCAGCCGUUCUGUACAUAACACAGCUUUUGUGCUCACCAGUAUGCUAGUUGGAAAAGAACCACAAAGAAUAUUAGAGUUUUAUUAGACACCUCCUAAUAUGCAGAAUUAAGAACCUACCCAGUUAAUUUAUAUUCAUUUUAAUAUUAGGUAUGUUAGAAUCUUAUUAAAUCUAUCUUCUAGGAGUUUCUGAAUGCUUUUAUAAUUAUGGAUUUCAAUUUAUUAUGUAAAUAUUAUGGCCUGUUCUGCCUUCUAGGAGAGCAUUUCUUACCAUCACUGCCUUGAUCUCUAAGGUUCAAGGAUACUGGAAAUCAUGAUAAGGGACAACCAAAUAUGCUGUUGCUGUUUUUACAGGUCACUCUGUAAAUGUGACUUAACUGUUUCAGUUCAAAGCCAGGGUGUCAUGGGAAAUCCACAGUUGGGAACUUAGACUCUGUCAUUGCCACCAAGAAGCUCUGUGGCCUUGGACGUGCAUGUCAACCUCUGAGCUAUGAAACAGAAAUAAUGCUGCGGUGAAGAUAAAAUGAAAUGGUGCAUACAGCAAAAGGCACAAAAUAGAACAGUAGACGCAAAUCCCUUCCCCUUU